AAUCAAAAAACUAAUUCUUCCAAAGAGAGAUUGUUAUUAUUCCUCACAAUAGCCAGAGAGCCUCUGCUUUCUUUUUCCUUUCUUCGGAAUGAGAGACUCAACCAUAAUAGAAAGAAUGGAGAACUAUUAACCACCUUUCUUCAGUGGGCUGUGAUUUUCAGAGGGGAAUACUAAGAAAUGGUUUUCCAUACUGGAACUCAAAGGUAAAGACACUCAAGGACAGACAUUUUUGGCAGAGCAUAGAUGAAAAUGGCAAGUUCCCUGGCCUUCCUUCUGCUCAACUUUCAUGUCUCCCUCUUCUUGGUCCAGCUGCUCACUCCUUGCUCAG